rnacentral:misc_RNA from 2 species
UCCUCUCUCCAAUCCCUCGGGUUGGGCGUUGGACCGAGUUGCGGUAACACGCAACUGGUCUCAAAGACAAUGACGGCGUCCGUGGGAGCCCUCUUCGCAACGAGUCUUUCGAGGCACGCGGGGAGUUGCAAGGUCUCCACGGCACGGUCCACACCUUUAUUAUUUUUCA